AGCUACAUCCCGUGGGGCUCCAGUCUGUGCGUGUAGCACCAUGGGAUUCAGCUCA
rnacentral:pre_miRNA from 1 species